rnacentral:rRNA from 1 species
AAUAUUGGACAAUGGGUGAAAGCCUGAUCCAGCCAUGCCGCGUGUGUGAAGAAGGUCUUCGGUUUGUAAAUCACUUUAAGUUGGGAGGAAGGUGUUGAAGCUAAUACCUUCAAUCUUUGACGUUACCAACUGAAUUAGCACCGGCUAACUCUGUGCUAGCAGCCGCGGUAAUAAAGAUGUUGCAAGCGUUAAUCGGAAUUACUGGGCGUAAAGCGCGCGUAGGUGGUUCAGUAAAAUGGAAGUGAAAUCCCCGGGCUUAACCUGGGAACUGCUUUCAUAACUGCUGAGCUAGAGUACGGUAGAGGGUAGUGGAAUUUCCUGUGUAGCGGUGAAAUGCGUAGAUAUAGGAAGGAACACCAGUGGCGAAGGCGACUACCUGGACUGAUACUGACACUGAGGUGCGAAAGCGUGGGGAGCAAACA